rnacentral:rRNA from 1 species
ACGAUGUCGACUUGGAGGUUGUGCCCUUGAGGCGUGGCUUCCGGAGCUAACGCGUUAAGUCGACCGCCUGGGGAGUACGGCCGCAAGGUUAAAACUCAAAUGAAUUGACGGGGGCCCGCACAAGCGGUGGAGCAUGUGGUUUAAUUCGAUGCAACGCGAAGAACCUUACCUACUCUUGACAUCCAGAGAAUUUGCUAGAGAUAGCUUAGUGCCUUCGGGAACUCUGAGACAGGUGCUGCAUGGCUGUCGUCAGCUCGUGUUGUGAAAUGUUGGGUUAAGUCCCGCAACGAGCGCAACCCUUAUCCUUUGUUGCCAGCGAUUCGGUCGGGAACUCAAAGGAGACUGCCGGUGAUAAACCGGAGGAAGGUGGGGAUGACGUCAAGUCAUCAUGGCCCUUACGAGUAGGGCUACACACGUGCUACAAUGGCGUAUACAAAGAGAAGCGACCUCGCGAGAGUAAGCGGACCUCAUAAAGUACGUCGUAGUCCGGAUUGGAGUCUGCAACUCGACUCCAUGAAGUCGGAAUCGCUAGUAAUCGUAGAUCAGAAUGCUACGGUGAAUACGUUCCCGGGCCUUGUACACACCGCCCGUCACACCAUGGGAGUGGGUUGCAAAAGAAGUAGGUAGCUUAACC